GGCUCGUUGGUCUAGGGGUACUGAUUCUCGCUUUGGGUGCGAGAGGUCCCGGGUUCAAAAUCCCGGACGAGCCU
rnacentral:tRNA from 1 species